UACAGAGGUGGCAAGCGUUGUUCGGAAUUACUGGGCGUAAAGGGCGCGUAGGCGGCCUGCUAAGUCGAACGUGAAAUCCCCGGGCUCAACCCGGGAACUGCGUCCGAUACUGGCAGGCUUGAAUUCGGGAGAGGGAUGUGGAAUUCCAGGUGUAGCGGUGAAAUGCGUAGAUAUCUGGAGGAACACCGGUGGCGAAGGCGGCAUCCUGGACCGAGAUUGACGCUGAUGCGCGAAAGCCAGGGGAGCAAACGGG
rnacentral:rRNA from 1 species